rnacentral:rRNA from 1 species
UACGGAGGGUCCGAGCGUUAUUCGGAAUCACUGGGUGUAAAGGGUCCGCAGGCGGGAGAGUAAGACAGGGGUGAAAUGUCGGAGCUCAACUGGAGAAUGGCCCUUGAUACUGGUCUGCUUGAGUUAUGUUGGUGGGGUCGGAACAUGUGGUGUAGCGGUGAAAUGCGUAGAGAUCACAAUGAACGCCGAUUGCGAAGGCAGGCCACAAGGCAUAUACUGACGCUGAGGGACGAAAGCGUGGGGAGCGAACAGG